UACGUAGGGACCAAGCGUUGUUCGGAUUUACUGGGCGUAAAGGGCGCGUAGGCGGCAUGACAAGUCACUUGUGAAAUCUCCGGGCUUAACUCGGAACGGUCAAGUGAUACUGUCGCGCUAGAGUGCGGAAGGGGCAAUCAGAAUUCUUGGUGUAGCGGUGAAAUGCGUAGAUAUCAAAGAGGGAAUACCUGAGGUGAAGACGGGUUGCUAG
rnacentral:rRNA from 1 species